UGGUGGAGCGAUUUGUCUGGUUAAUUCCGUUAACGAACGAGACCUCUUCUUGCUAACUAGUUCGGGUCAGGCUUCGGCCUGGCUAAGGGGGCAACCCCUUUCGCGUGACUUCUUAGAAGGACUACUGGUGGCUAGCCAGUGGAAGUUGGAGGCAAUAACA
rnacentral:rRNA from 1 species